rnacentral:rRNA from 1 species
UACGUAGGGGGCUAGCGUUGUCCGGAUUUAUUGGGCGUAAAGAGCGUGUAGGCGGCCAGGUAAGUCCGCUGUGAAAUCUCGAGGCUCAACUUCGAGCUGUCGGUGGAAACUGUCUGGCUAGAGUCCGGAAGAGGAGAAUGGAAUUCCUGGUGUAGCGGUGAAAUGCGCAGAUAUCAGGAAGAACACCCGUGGCGAAGGCGGUUCUCUGGGACGGUACUGACGCUGAGGUGCGAAAGCGUGGGGAGCAAACAGG